AGCGAUGCGUACGGUUCCCCCCAAUCUACGCAUCGCUAGGCGGCACCUGUUCCCCCCAAUAGGUGCCGCCCCCU
rfam:Cryobacterium roopkundense strain RuG17 contig00065, whole genome shotgun sequence.